rnacentral:rRNA from 1 species
CCUACGGGAGGCAGCAGUGAGGAAUAUUGGACAAUGGAGGCAACUCUGACCCAGCCAUGCCGCGUGAGUGAAGAAGGUUUUCGGAUUGUAAAGCUCUUUCUGCUGUGACGAUAAUGACGGUAGCAUCUAAAGAAGCCCCGGCUAACUUCGUGCCAGCAGCCGCGGUAAUACGAAGGGGGCAAGCGUUGUUCGGAUUUACUGGGCGUAAAGGGAGUGUAGGCGGUUUAGUAAGAUAGUGGUGAAAGCCCAGGGCUGAACUUUGGAAUUGCCAUUAUAACUAUUAGACUAGAAUUAAGGAGAGGAUAGUGGAAUACCUGGUGUAGAGGUGAAAUGCGUAGAUAUCGGGAAGAACACCAGUGGCGAAGGCGACUAACUGGAUUGACACUGACGUUGAGGCUCGAAAGCAUGGGGAGCAAACAGGAUUAGAUACCCUAGUAGUC